rnacentral:piRNA from 1 species
UUCAACAACAACAGUGAUUGCUAAAGAUGC